GACGAACGCUGGCGGCGUGCUUAACACAUGCAAGUCGAACGGAAAGGCCCUGCUUUUGUGGGGUGCUCGAGUGGCGAACGGGUGAGUAACACGUGAGUAACCUGCCCUUGACUUUGGGAUAACUUCAGGAAACUGGGGCUAAUACCGGAUAGGAGCUCCUGCUGCAUGGCGGGGGUUGGAAAGUUUCGGCGGUUGGGGAUGGACUCGCGGCUUAUCAGCUUGUUGGUGGGGUAGUGGCUUACCAAGGCUUUGACGGGUAGCCGGCCUGAGAGGGUGACCGGCCACAUUGGGACUGAGAUACGGCCCAGACUCCUACGGGAGGCAGCAGUGGGGAAUAUUGCACAAUGGGCGGAAGCCUGAUGCAGCAACGCCGCGUGCGGGAUGACGGCCUUCGGGUUGUAAACCACUUUCGCCUGUGACGAAGCGUGAGUGACGGUAAUGGGUAAAGAAGCACCGGCUAACUACGUG
rnacentral:rRNA from 1 species